rnacentral:rRNA from 1 species
AUGGCUCAGUGAGGCCUUGGGACUGGCUCAGAGAGGUCGGCAACGACCACUCAGAGCCGGAAACUUGGUCAAACUUGGUCAUUUAGAGGAAGUAAAAGUCGUAACAAGGUUUCCGUAGGUGAACCUGCGGAAGGAUCAUUAACGAGUUAGGGUCUUCCAGGCCCGACCUCCCAACCCUAUGUUUACUGAACCUUCGUUGCUUCGGCGGACCCGCCUCUCGGCCGCCGGAGGACCGCCCCACGGCGUCCUCUAGCCCGCGUCCGUCGACGGCCAACCUCAAAAACGCUGAAAUAACCGUGUCGUCUGUCUCAGUCUCAUGAUUAAAUUAAAGCAAAACUUUCAACAACGGAUCUCUUGGUUCUGGCAUCGAUGAAGAACGCAGCGAAAUGCGAUAAGUAAUGCGAAUUGCAGAAUUCCAGUGAGUCAUCGAAUCUUUGAACGCACAUUGCGCCCUUUGGCAUUCCGAAGGGCAUGCCUGUUCGAGCGUCAUUAUCACCCCUCGGGCCCCGUGCUCGACGUUGGAAGGCCGGUCGGGCAACCGACCCCUCCUAAAGACAAUGACGGCGGCCUGUGGCGCCCCCGGUACACUGAGCUUUUCACGGAGCACGUACCGGACGAGGGCGCCCGGGACCCGGUCCUCUCCUUUCACUAGGAAGCUUCUCAAGGUUGACCUCGGAUCAGGUAGGAAUACGCGCUGAACUUAAGCAUAUCAAUAAGCGCAGGAAAAGAAACCAACAGGGAUUACCUCAGUAACGGCGAGUGAAGCGGUAAUAGCUCAAAUUUGAAAUCUGGCCUCUCGGGGUCCGAGUUGUAAUUUGUAGAGGAUGUUUUGGGUACCGCCUCGGUCUAAAUUUCUUGGAACAGAAUGUCACAGAGGGUGAGAAUCCCGUCUUGGACCGGCGGUAGGGCCUGUGUAAAACUCCUUCGACGAGUCGAGUUGUUUGGGAAUGCAGCUCAAAAUGGGUGGUAAAUUUCAUCUAAAGCUAAAUAUUGGCCAGAGACCGAUAGCGCACAAGUAGAGUGAUCGAAAGAUGAAAAGCACUUUGAAAAGAGAGUUAAACAGUAUGUGAAAUUGUUGAAAGGGAAGCGCUUGCAACCAGACUUGAGCGCGGCGGUUCCCCCGGCCUUUUGGCCGGGCUACUCCGCCGUGUCCAGGCCAACAUCGGUUCUGAGGGUCGGUUAAAGGCCCCGGGAAUGUAUCUACCCACGGGUAGACUUAUAGACCGGGGUGUCAUGCGGCCUCUCGGGACCGAGGAACGCGCUUCGGCUCGGAUGUUGGCGUAAUGGUUGUCAGCGACCCGUCUUGAAACACGGACCAAGGAGUCUAACAUCUAUGCGAGUGUUUGGGUGUCAAACCCGGAACGCGGAAUGAAAGUGAACGGAGGUAGGAAGCUUCGGCUGCACUAUCGACCGAUCCUGAAGUUUACGGAAGGAUUUGAGUAAGAGCAUAGCUGUUGGGACCCGAAAGAUGGUGAACUAUGCCUGAAUAGGGUGAAGCCAGAGGAAACUCUGGUGGAGGCUCGCAGCGGUUCUGACGUGCAAAUCGAUCGUCAAAUUUGGGUAUAGGGGCGAAAGACUAAUCGAACCAU